CAGGCUUAACACAUGCAAGUCGAGGGGCAUCAGGAAGAAAGCUUGCUUUCUUUGCUGGCGACCGGCGCACGGGUGAGUAACACGUAUCCAACCUGCCCUUUACUCGGGGAUAGCCUUUCGAAAGAAAGAUUAAUACCCGAUAGCAUAAUGAUUCCGCAUGGUUUCAUUAUUAAAGGAUUCCGGUAAAGGAUGGGGAUGCGUUCCAUUAGGUUGUUGGUGAGGUAACGGCCCACCAAGCCUUCGAUGGAUAGGGGUUCUGAGAGGAAGGUCCCCCACAUUGGAACUGAGACACGGCCCAAACUCCUACGGGAGGCAGCAGUGAGGAAUAUUGGUCAAUGGGCGCUAGCCUGAACCAGCCAAGUAGCGUGAAGGAUGAAGGCUCUAUGGGUCGUAAACUUCUUUUAUAUAAGAAUAAAGUGCAGUAUGUAUACUGUUUUGUAUGUAUUAUAUGAAUAAGGAUCGGCUAACUCCGUGCCAGCAGCCGCGGUAAUACGGAGGAUCCGAGCGUUAUCCGGAUUUAUUGGGUUUAAAGGGAGCGUAGGUGGACUGGUAAGUCAGUUGUGAAAGUUUGCGGCUCAACCGUAAAAUUGCAGUUGAUACUGUCAGUCUUGAGUACAGUAGAGGUGGGCGGAAUUCGUGGUGUAGCGGUGAAAUGCUUAGAUAUCACGAAGAACUCCGAUUGCGAAGGCAGCUCACUGGACUGCAACUGACACUGAUGCUCGAAAGUGUGGGUAUCAAACAGGAUUAGAUACCCUGGUAGUCCACACAGUAAACGAUGAAUACUCGCUGUUUGCGAUAUACAGUAAGCGGCCAAGCGAAAGCAUUAAGUAUUCCACCUGGGGAGUACGCCGGCAACGGUGAAACUCAAAGGAAUUGACGGGGGCCCGCACAAGCGGAGGAACAUGUGGUUUAAUUCGAUGAUACGCGAGGAACCUUACCCGGGCUUAAAUUGCAGUGGAAUGAUGUGGAAACAUGUCAGUGAGCAAUCACCGCUGUGAAGGUGCUGCAUGGUUGUCGUCAGCUCGUGCCGUGAGGUGUCGGCUUAAGUGCCAUAACGAGCGCAACCCUUAUCUUUAGUUACUAACAGGUUAUGCUGAGGACUCUGGAGAGACUGCCGUCGUAAGAUGUGAGGAAGGUGGGGAUGACGUCAAAUCAGCACGGCCCUUACGUCCGGGGCUACACACGUGUUACAAUGGGGGGUACAGAAGGCAGCUAGCGGGUGACCGUAUGCUAAUCCCAAAAGCCUCUCUCAGUUCGGAUCGAAGUCUGCAACCCGACUUCGUGAAGCUGGAUUCGCUAGUAAUCGCGCAUCAGCCACGGCGCGGUGAAUACGUUCCCGGGCCUUGUACACACCGCCCGUCAAGCCAUGGGAGCCGGGGGUACCUGAAGUACGUAACCGCAAGGAUCGUCCUAGGGUAAAACUGGUGACUGGGGCUAAGUC
rnacentral:rRNA from 1 species